UAAUCGGGGCAGGGUGAGUCGACCCCUAAGGUGAGGCCGAAAGGCGUAAUCGAUGGGAAACGGGUUAAUAUUCCCGUACUUCUGACUAUUGCGAUGGGGGGACGGAGAAGGCUAGGUGGGCCAGGCGACGGUUGUCCUGGUUCAAGUGCGUAGGCUUGAGAGUUAGGUAAAUCCGGCUCUCUCUAAGGCUGAGACACGACGUCGAGCUACUACGGUAGUGAAGUCAUUGAUGCCAUGCUUCCAGGAAAAGCCUCUAAGCUUCAGAUAGUCAGGAAUCGUACCCCAAACCGACACAGGUGGUCGGGUAGAGAAUACCAAGGCGCUUGAGAGAACUCGGGUGAAGGAACUAGGCAAAAUGGUACCGUAACUUCGGGAGAAGGUACGCUCUUGAUGGUGAAGUCCCUCGCGGAUGGAGCUGACGAGAGUCGCAGAUACCAGGUGGCUGCAACUGUUUAUUAAAAACACAGCACUGUGCAAAAUCGCAAGAUGACGUAUACGGUGUGACGCCUGCCCGGUGCCGGAAGGUUAAUUGAUGGGGUUAGCGCAAGCGAAGCUCUUGAUCGAAGCCCCGGUAAACGGCGGCCGUAACUAUAACGGUCCUAAGGUAGCGAAAUUCCUUGUCGGGUAAGUUCCGACCUGCACGAAUGGCGUAAUGAUGGCCACGCUGUCUCCACCCGAGACUCAGUGAAAUUGAAAUCGCUGUGAAGAUGCAGUGUACCCGCGGCUAGACGGAAAGACCCCGUGAACCUUUACUACAGCUUGGCACUGAACAUUGAACCUACAUGUGUAGGAUAGGUGGGAGGCUAUGAAGACGUGACGCCAGUUGCGUUGGAGCCGUCCUUGAAAUACCACCCUUGUAUGUUUGAUGUUCUAACUUAGACCCAUUAUCUGGGUUGAGGACAGUGCCUGGUGGGUAGUUUGACUGGGGCGGUCUCCUCCCAAAGAGUAACGGAGGAGCACGAAGGUGGGCUAAUCACGGUUGGACAUCGUGAGGUUAGUGCAAUGGCAUAAGCCCGCUUAACUGCGAGAAUGACGGUUCGAGCAGGUGCGAAAGCAGGUCAUAGUGAUCCGGUGGUUCUGUAUGGAAGGGCCAUCGCUCAACGGAUAAAAGGUACUCCGGGGAUAACAGGCUGAUACCGCCCAAGAGUUCAUAUCGACGGCGGUGUUUGGCACCUCGAUGUCGGCUCAUCACAUCCUGGGGCUGAAGUCGGUCCCAAGGGUAUGGCUGUUCGCCAUUUAAAGUGGUACGCGAGCUGGGUUUAGAACGUCGUGAGACAGUUCGGUCCCUAUCUGCCGUGGGCGUUGGAAGAUUGAAGGGGGCUGCUCCUAGUACGAGAGGACCGGAGUGGACGAACCUCUGGUGUUCGGGUUGUGUCGCCAGACGCAUUGCCCGGUAGCUAAGUUCGGAAUUGAUAAGCGCUGAAAGCAUCUAAGCGCGAAGCGAGCCCUGAGAUGAGUCUUCCCUGACAGUUUAACUGUCCUAAAGGGUUGUUCGAGACUAGAACGUUGAUAGGCAGGGUGUGUAAGCGUUGUGAGGCGUUGAGCUAACCUGUACUAAUUGCCCGUGAGGCUUAACCA
rnacentral:rRNA from 1 species